CAUUAAGAAGCUAAAUUAGCAUUAACCUUUUAAGUUAAAGAUUGAAAGUCUGAACUUUCCUUAAUGG
rnacentral:tRNA from 1 species